rnacentral:ncRNA from 12 species
CGACUCUUAGCGGUGGAUCACUCGGCU